rnacentral:rRNA from 1 species
GCGUCUUAAACAUGCAAGUCGUACGAGAAUCCCGGUGCUUGCAUUGGGAGGAAAGUGGCGAACGGGUGAGUAACACGUGGAUAAUCUACCUCUAAGUUGGGGACAACCACUGGAAAUGGUGGCUAAUACCGAAUAGUAUACUUUCUUCAUAUGUUGAGAGUAUUAAAGAUGGGGACCUUCGGGCCUAUCGCUUGGAGAUGAGUCUGCGGCCUAUUAGCUUGUCGGUGGGGUAACGGCCCACCAAGGCGAUGAUGGGUAGCCGGCCUGAGAGGGUGAACGGCCACAUUGGGACUGAGAUACGGCCCAGACUCCUACGGGAGGCAGCAGUUAAGAAUCUUGCGCAAUGGGCGAAAGCUUGACGCAGCGACGCCGCGUGGACGAUGAAGGCCUUCGGGUUGUAAAGUCCGAUAAGCAGGGAAGAAUAAGCAUAGACUAAUAUUCUGUGUGAUGACGGUACCUGCCUAAAGCCCCGGCUAACUACGUGCCAGCAGCCGCGGUAAUACGUAUGGGGCGAGCGUUGUUCGGAAUUAUUGGGCGUAAAGGGCAUCUAGGCGGGAAAUUAAGUUAGGUGUGUAAUCCACAGGCUCAACUUGUGAACUGCAUCUAAAACUGAUUUUCUUGAGUUCGAGAGAGGAGAGCGGAAUUCUUGGUGUAGCGGUGAAAUGCGUAGAUAUCAAGAAGAACACCAGUGGCGAAGGCGGCUCUCUGGCUUAGAACUGACGCUGAAGUGCGAAAGCGUGGGUAGCGAAACGGGAUUAGAUACCCCGGUAAUCCACGCCGAAAACGUUGUAUACUACGUGUUAGUGGCUUGACCACUAGUGUCGAAGCUAACGCAUUAAGUAACCGCCUGGGGAGUACGCUCGCAAGGGUGAAACUC